rnacentral:tRNA from 1 species
GCAGAGGUGGUGAAAUGGCAAACACGUACGUUUGAGGGGCGUAUGCUUAUACAAGCUUGAGGGUUCAAGUCCCUUUCUCUGCA